AAAAAGGGCUUCUAUUGUGAGUGGCACACAUAGGGCAGCUCCAUUGCUCUUUGUGCAGAAUUGACAUCAAGAGAUUUCAGAAGCAUAAUUUUUUGUUACCCAGGCAGCUUGUGAUCAUUGGUCCUGAAAGAAAAAAAAAAAAAAAGAGUCAGAUGCUUAACCGACUAGGCAACCAGGUGCCCCU
rnacentral:snRNA from 1 species